AGGAAGUAAAAGUCGUAACAAGGUUUUCGUAGGUGAACCUGCGGAAGGAUCAUUAGUGAAUUUUCUUUGGUGUCUCUGUUUAACCAACGGAGCGCCAUUUAAACCACUUUUUUACACACCUGUGAACUUGAUUUUUUACAAACACUUAUGUGUUUUUAAUAAAAGUUGUAGAUUGUCAAUUUGAUAAAAAGAAAGUAAAAACUUUCAGCAAUGGAUCUCUUGGCUCUCGCAUCGAUGAAGAACGCAGCAAAGCGCGAAAUGUAGUGUGAAUUGCAGAAUUCAGUGAAUCAUCGAAUCUUUGAACGCAUCUUGCACUUUCGGGUUAUUCCUGGAAGUAUGCUUGUUUGAGUGUCACGAAACCUCUCAACCCCGCUUUGACUUUAUUGACAAAGUUGUUUGGGCUUGGAUCAUGACAGUUGUUGGAGCACAUUUGUGCACCAACUCUGUUGAAAUAAAACAGGCUGGAUCAACGAAAUUGCGGCUUGACCUAUUGUUGUAACUUAAAACUCAAUGGGAACGCAUAACUGUUGAAGGAGU
rnacentral:misc_RNA from 1 species